rnacentral:rRNA from 1 species
CGGACCGGCGCACGGUGAGUAACGCGUAUGCAACUUACCUAUCAGGAGGGGAUAACCCGGCGAAAGUCGGACUAAUACCGCAUGAAGCAGGGGCCCCGCAUGGGGAUAUUCGCUAAAGAUUCAUCGCUGAUAGAUAGGCAUGCGUUCCAUUAGGCAGUUGGCGGGGUAACGGCCCACCAAACCGACGAUGGAUAGGGGUUCUGAGAGGAAGGUCCCCCACAUUGGUACUGAGACACGGACCAA